rnacentral:rRNA from 1 species
AACGUACGCUGGCGGCACGCCUUAUACAUGCAAGUCGAACGCAGUAGCAAUACUGAGUGGCAAACGGGUGAGUAUAAUGUGGGAAUCUGCCUUUUGGUUUGGAAUAACACGGGGAAACUUGUGCUAAUACCGAAUAAGCCUUUACAGGGAAAGUUUUAACGCCGAAAGAUGAGCCCGCACUUGAUUAGCUAGUUGGUGAGGUAAAAGCUCACCAAGGCAACGAUCAAUAGCUGUUCUUAGAGGAAGACCAGCCACAUUGGGACUGAGACACGGCCCAGACUCCUACGGGAGGCAGCAGUAAGGAAUCUUGCACAAUGGGGGAAACCCUGAUGCAGCGAUGCCGCGUGAGUGAAGAAGGCCCUUGGGUUGUAAAACUCUUUCGUCGGGGAAGAAAAUGACUGUACCCGAAUAAGAAGGUCCGGCUAACUUCGUGCCAGCAGCCGCAGCAAUAA